rnacentral:rRNA from 1 species
GACGAACGCUGGCGGCGUGCCUAAUACAUGCAAGUAGAACGCUGAAGGAGGAGCUUGCUUCUCUGGAUGAGUUGCGAACGGGUGAGUAACGCGUAGGUAACCUGCCUGGUAGCGGGGGAUAACUAUUGGAAACGAUAGCUAAUACCGCAUAAUAGUAGAUGUUGCAUGACAUUUGCUUAAAAGGUGCAAUUGCAUCACUACCAGAUGGACCUGCGUUGUAUUAGCUAGUUGGUGGGGUAACGGCUCACCAAGGCGACGAUACAUAGCCGACCUGAGAGGGUGAUAGGCCACACUGGGACUGAGACACGGCCCAGACGCCUACGGGAGGCAGCAGUAGGGAAUCUUCGGCAAUGGACGGAAGUCUGACCGAGCAACGCCGCGUGAGGGAAGAAGGUUUUCGGAUCGUAAAGCUCUGUUGUAAGAGAAGAACGAGUGUGAGAGUGGAAAGUUCACACUGUGACGGUAUCUUACCAGAAAGGGACGGCUAACUACGUG